GGGCGCUGUGGUGGCCCCGUCCCGGUUUGGCCGGUCGCCCGCCGCCGAUGCUCGCCCCCGUGGAGGAGGAACGCGACAGCGGAUUGCCGAAGGAGCUUCGUUGUGAGGGCACCUGAGGGAUCCCAUGGAGCAAUUCACUUUGCUGAGUUAGCAGACGAGGCCGUUGGACAGAGUCAAAAAAAAAAGAUGCUGCCAACUGUGAAGCAAAUGAAUCGAUACCAGUGGGACUGGAUCGGCUUGCUGCUUCCGAUACACCGAGAAAAGCAACAGCACGGGUGCAAGAUCUGACACACAGGGUCAGCGUUCACAGUAACGGGAUUUGAUCUGCCAGCUGAAGGCCAGGAGAUAACCCUACGGAACAGCCUGCCUGCCUCAAGAGCAAUUCUGUAGCAUCAGGUCAGAGAUAUAUACCACAUCCUAUGCAGUGAGAAAGAGAGAGGAAGAAAGAGAGAGAGAGAGAGACUACUUCUGGCGCUGGAAAGAGCUCUUUGCCUGGCUUGCUCCAGUAUCCGGGCCUUCUCCUCGUCAAGCGUCAUGCCGUAGCGGACGUGAAGCGCCAAAGCGCCGUAUUGCAUUUCAACGUCGGCAAACCUACGAGUCCUGCCGUUCACCACCGUGGUGGACUGGGAAACCGUGACGUUGAUGCCAUUCUCCAGGGCCUUCCUCCCGCUCG